UACUGAGAGCUACGUACGAUCUCAUGCAUCUACGUGCGCCGCGUGCGUAUAUACGCACGCGUGGUGCACGUGUAGUAGCUAGUGUCAUCUUUUGCUUUUGAGUGUCGAUCUCAGGUGAGUUGCAUGCAUGGUUGGGCAGGGAGGUUGGAGUUUGUAAAAGUUUGGGUUUGUGGCCUGAUGGCAAGAGUCGAGUUUACUAGUAGCUUCUAGUAGUUGUGUGCUAAGUUAAUUGUGUGUUGUUAAGUGCACGUGAUGCAUGCGAGAUAUGAUGACUAUCUUUAGU
rnacentral:sRNA from 1 species